CCUACGGGGGGCUGCAGUGGGGAAUAUUGGACAAUGGGCGAAAGCCUGAUCCAGCAAUGCCGCGUGAGUGACGAAGGCCUUAGGGUUGUAAAGCUCUUUUACCAGGGAUGAUAAUGACAGUACCUGGAGAAUAAGCUCCGGCUAACUCCGUGCCAGCAGCCGCGGUAAUACGGAGGGAGCUAGCGUUGUUCGGAAUUACUGGGCGUAAAGCGUACGUAGGCGGUUAUUCAAGUCAGAGGUGAAAGCCUGGAGCUCAACUCCAGAACUGCCUUUGAAACUAGAUAGCUAGAAUCAUGGAGAGGUGAGUGGAAUUCCGAGUGUAGAGGUGAAAUUCGUAGAUAUUCGGAAGAACACCAGUGGCGAAGGCGGCUCACUGGACAUGUAUUGACGCUGAGGUACGAAAGCGUGGGGAGCAAACAGGAUUAGAUACCCAAGUAGUC
rnacentral:rRNA from 1 species